rnacentral:rRNA from 1 species
UACAGAGGUCUCUAGCGUUGUUCGGAUUUAUUGGGCGUAAAGGGUGCGUAGGUGGUCGGGUAAGUCAUAUGUGAAAUCUCGGAGCUCAACUCCGAAACUGCAUGCGAUACUGCCUGACUAGAGGAGUGGAGAGGAGACUGGAAUUCUCGGUGUAGCAGUGAAAUGCGUAGAUAUCGAGAGGAACACCCGUGGCGAAGGCGGGUCUCUGGACACAUCCUGACACUGAGGCACGAAGGCUAGGGGAGCAAACGGG